rnacentral:rRNA from 1 species
AAUUGACGCUGGCGGCUGCUUACACAUGCAAGUCGAACGGUACAGUGAGCUUGCUCCGCUGACGAGUGGCGAACGGGUGAGUAAUGCGUCGGAACGUGCCCAGUCGUGGGGGAUAACGCAGCGAAAGCUGUGCUAAUACCGCAUACGAUCUACGGAUGAAAGCGGGGGAUCGCAAGACCUCGCGCGAUUGGAGCGGCCGAUAUCAGAUUAGCUAGUUGGUGGGGUAAAGGCUCACCAAGCCAACGAUCUGUAGCUGGUCUGAGAGGACGACCAGCCACACUGGAACUGAGACACGGUCCAGACUCCUACGGGAGGCAGCAGUGGGGAAUUUUGGACAAUGGGCGCAAGCCUGAUCCAGCCAUGCCGCGUGUGUGAAGAAGGCCUUAUGGUUGUAAAGCACUUUAAGCGAGGAGGAGGAGCUUCAGGUUAAUACCCUGGAUGCUUGGACGUUACUCGCAGAAUAAGCACCGGCUAACUCUGUGCCAGCAGCCGCGGUAAUACAGAGGGUGCAAGCGUUAAUCGGAUUUACUGGGCGUAAAGCGUGCGUAGGCGGCUAAUUAAGUCAAAUGUGAAAUCCCCGAGCUUAACUUGGGAAUUGCAUUCGAUACUGGUUAGCUAGAGUAUGGGAGAGGAUGGUAGAAUUCCAGGUGUAGCGGUGAAAUGCGUA